AUUGAACGCUGGCGGCAUGCUUUACACAUGCAAGUCGAACGGUAACAGGUCUUCGGAUGCUGACGAGUGGCGAACGGGUGAGUAAUACAUCGGAACGUGCCUAGUAGUGGGGGAUAACUACUCGAAAGAGUAGCUAAUACCGCAUGAGAUCUACGGAUGAAAGCAGGGGACCUUCGGGCCUUGUGCUACUAGAGCGGCUGAUGGCAGAUUAGGUAGUUGGUGGGGUAAAGGCUUACCAAGCCUGCGAUCUGUAGCUGGUCUGAGAGGACGACCAGCCACACUGGGACUGAGACACGGCCCAGACUCCUACGGGAGGCGGCAGUGGGGAAUUUUGGACAAUGGGCGAAAGCCUGAUCCAGCAAUGCCGCGUGCAGGAUGAAGGCCCUCGGGUUGUAAACUGCUUUUGUACGGAACGAAAAGCCUGGGGCUAAUAUCCCCGGGUCAUGACGGUACCGUAAGAAUAAGCACCGGCUAACUACGUGCCAGCCGCCGCUGUAAUAC
rnacentral:rRNA from 1 species